GACGGAAGGUGCAAGCGUUGCUCGGAAUCACUGGGCGUAAAGGGUGCGUAGGCGGCCGUGCAAGUCUGGCGUGAAAGCCCCGGGCUCAGCCCGGGAAGUGCGCUCGAAACUGGCGGGCUAGAGUUCUGGAGGGGGUAGCGGAAUUCCUGGUGUAGCGGUGAAAUGCGUAGAUAUCAGGAGGAACACCGGUGGCGAAGGCGGCUACCUGGACAGAAACUGACGCUGAGGCGCGAAAGCUAGGGGAGCAAACAGG
rnacentral:rRNA from 1 species